AGGCAGGGAGGAUCGGGGUGUUAGCCGUACCCCACAUCAGAAAUCGGCUUUAUGCUGGGAUCAGUAACUGCUGGGUAAAUCCAGAGGUGUGAGGUACCCGCUUGCCUUGCUGAAAUGAAAUCAUGCCGUGUCGGAUGGUUAUGAGCAGCGCACCACGCGAAGGCGUAGUUUUGACUGUGAAUCGUCGAAAUGGGUGAGGUCCGGGAGGGAGCAACCCUAAGGCGGGGUAGCCAUGCUAACACGUCUACGUGGUGGAUCUUGUAGGACUUGAGAAGGGGCCUUGUGCCUCUGGUGGUACUGGCAGGCUGCCU
rnacentral:SRP_RNA from 1 species